GGCUCAGGAUGAACGCUGGCGGCGUGCUUAACACAUGCAAGUCGAACGAACAUUCGGGUUAGUGGCGGACGGGUGAGUAACGCGUGAGAAUCUGCCCUCAGGAGGGGGAUAACGGUUGGAAACGACCGCUAAUACCCCAUAUGCCGAUAGGUGAAAUGAAUUUCGCCUGAGGAUGAGCUCGCGUCUGAUUAGCUUGUUGGUGAGGUAAUGGCUCACCAAGGCUUCGAUCAGUAGCUGGUCUGAGAGGAUGAUCAGCCACACUGGGACUGAGACACGGCCCAGACUCCUACGGGAGGCAGCAGUGGGGAAUUUUCCGCAAUGGGCGAAAGCCUGACGGAGCAACGCCGCGUGAGGGACGAAGGCCUCUGGGCUGUAAACCUCUUUUCUCAAGGAAGAAGAUAUGACGGUACUUGAGGAAUAAGCCACGGCUAAUUCCGUGCCAGCAGCCGCGGUAAUACGGGAGUGGCAAGCGUUAUCCGGAAUUAUUGGGCGUAAAGCGUCCGCAGGCGGCCUUUCAAGUCUGCUGUUAAAGCGUGGAGCUUAACUCCAUUAUGGCAGUGGAAACUGAUCGGCUUGAGUAUGGUAGGGGCAGAGGGAAUUCCCGGUGUAGCGGUGAAAUGCGUAGAUAUCGGGAAGAACACCAGUGGCGAAGGCGCUCUGCUGGGCCAUUACUGACGCUCAUGGACGAAAGCCAGGGGAGCGAAAGGGAUUAGAUACCCCUGUAGUCCUGGCCGUAAACGAUGAACACUAGGUGUCGGGGGAAUCGACCCCUUCGGUGUCGUAGCUAACGCGUUAAGUGUUCCGCCUGGGGAGUACGCACGCAAGUGUGAAACUCAAAGGAAUUGACGGGGGCCCGCACAAGCGGUGGAGUAUGUGGUUUAAUUCGAUGCAACGCGAAGAACCUUACCAGGGUUUGACAUCCUGAGAACCUCUUAGAAAUUAGAGGGUGCCUUCGGGAAUUCAGUGACAGGUGGUGCAUGGCUGUCGUCAGCUCGUGUCGUGAGAUGUUGGGUUAAGUCCCGCAACGAGCGCAACCCACGUUUUUAGUUGCCAGCAUUUAGUUGGGCACUCUAGAAAGACCGCCGGUGAUAAACCGGAGGAAGGUGUGGAUGACGUCAAGUCAUCAUGCCCCUUACACCCUGGGCUACACACGUACUACAAUGCUACGGACAAAGGGCAGCAAACUCGCGAGAGCUAGCAAAUCCCAUAAACCGUGGCUCAGUUCAGAUCGUAGGCUGCAACUCGCCUACGUGAAGUAGGAAUCGCUAGUAAUCGCAGGUCAGCAUACUGCGGUGAAUACGUUCCCGGGCCUUGUACACACCGCCCGUCACACCAUGGAAGUUGGCCAUGCCCGAAGUCGUUACUCCAACCCUUGUGGAGGAGGACGCCGAAGGUGGGGCUAAUGACUGGGGUGAAGUCGUAACAAGGUAGCCGUACCGGAAGGUGCGGCUGGAUCACCUCCU
rnacentral:rRNA from 1 species